GACGUAGGGCGCAAGCGUUGUCCGGAAUUAUUGGGCGUAAAGAGCUCGUAGGCGGUUCGGUAAGUCGGGUGUGAAAACUCUGGGCUCAACCCAGAGCCGCCACCCGAUACUGCUGUGACUUGAGUUCGGUAGGGGAGCGGGGAAUUCCUGGUGUAGCGGUGAAAUGCGCAGAUAUCAGGAGGAACACCAGUGGCGAAGGCGCCGCUCUGGGCCGAGACUGACGCUGAGGAGCGAAAGCGUGGGUAGCAAACAGG
rnacentral:rRNA from 1 species